rnacentral:rRNA from 1 species
GACGAACGCUGGCGGCGUGCUUAACACAUGCAAGUCGAACGAAGUGGCGAACGGGUGAGUAACGCGUAAUCAACCUGCCCUUCAGAGGGGGACAAAAGUUGGAAACGACUGCUAAUACCGAAUCCUGAAGGAGGGGCUUGCGUCUGAUUAGCUAGAUGGCGGGGUAGAGGCCCACCAAGGCGACGAUCAGGAGGCGGUCUGAGAGGAUGAACGGGCACAGUGGGACUGAGACCCGGCCCCGACGCCCACGGGAGGCAGCAGUGGGGAAUCUUCCGCAAUGGACGAAAGUCUGACGGAGCAACUCCGCGGGAGUGAUGACGGCCUUCGGGUUGUAAAGCUCUGUUAAUCGGGACGCGGUACCGGAAUAGAAAGCCACGGCUAACUACGUGCCAGCCGCCGCGGUAAUAC